GUUUUAACAGGUCUUGCUCUGUCACCUAGGCUGGAGUGCAGUGAUGUGAUGAUAGCUUGCUGCAGUCUUGAACUGCUGGGCUCAGGGGAUCCUCCUGGUGCAGCCUCCCAAGUAGCUGGGACAACAGAUGCGUGCCAUCACACCAGGCUUGUUUUUGUUUUUGUUUUUGUUUUAAAUUAUUUGUAAGACAGAGUCUUGCUAUGUUGGCCAGGUUGGCCUUGAACUCUUGGUCUUAAGGAAUCCUCCCACCUUAGCCUCCCAAAGUGCUGGGAUUAUAGGCAUGAGCCAUCGUGCCUGGCCAGAACUCUGCGUUUAAAGUUGAGAGCCUUGGGUCAUGCCCUCCUGCCCUGCUUUCAGCCCUGGAGUAAUUGCUGCUGUUGCUCAUCCAGAACAUGCAUCCAGGAUUAAAGCAGAGGGAACUUCAUUAUCAUGUGGAUUGAAGAUUGAAACUGGCCUGUUCGAGGAAAUUGGCUGUUAUCUCUUUCUCCUGCCUUCUAGGAAGGGUCUCACUCUGUCACCC
rnacentral:lncRNA from 10 species